rnacentral:tRNA from 3 species
GCGGCGAUGGCGGAAUUGGUAGACGCGUCAGCUUGAGGGGCUGGUGGGGGCAACCCCGUGGAGGUUCGAGUCCUCUUCGCCGCACCA